rnacentral:rRNA from 1 species
AUUGAACGCUGGCGGCAUGCCUUACACAUGCAAGUCGAACGGCAGCACGGGUGCUUGCACCUGGUGGCGAGUGGCGAACGGGUGAGUAAUACAUCGGAACGUACCUUAUCGUGGGGGAUAACGCAGCGAAAGCUGUGCUAAUACCGCAUACGCCCUGAGGGGGAAAGCGGGGGACCGCAAGACCUCGCGCGAUUAGAGCGGCCGAUGCCUGAUGAGCUUGUUGGUGGGGUAAAAGCCCACCAAGGCGACGAUCAGUAGCUGGUCUGAGAGGACGAACAGCCAGACUGGGACUGAGACACGGCCCAGACUCCUACGGGAGGCAGCAGUGGGGAAUUUUGGACAAUGGGGGCAACCCUGAUCCAGCAAUGCCGCGUGAGUGAAGAAGGCCUUCGGGUUGUAAAGCUCUUUUGUCAGGGAAGAAACACCGGCUCUAACACAGUCCGGGAAUGACGGUACCUGAAGAAUAAGCACCGGCUAACUACGUGCCAGCAGCCGCGGUAA